CGGGAAACACCCGGCUCCAUACCGAACCCGGCAGUUAAGCCGUCUCGGGCC
rnacentral:rRNA from 1 species